UACGUAGGGUGCGAGCGUUAAUCGGAAUUAGUGGGCGUAAAGCGUGCGCAGGCGGCUUUGCAAGACAGAUGUGAAAUCCCCGGGCUCAACCUGGGAACUGCAUUUGUGACUGCAAGGCUAGAGUACGGCAGAGGCGGAUGGAAUUCCGCGUGUAGCAGUGAAAUGCGUAGAUAUGCGGAGGAACACCAAUGGCGAAGGCAAUCCCCUGGGCCUGUACUGACGCUCAUGCACGAAAGCGU
rnacentral:rRNA from 1 species